UUUGUUUUGAGAUGGGGUUUUUUGUUUAGGUUUAAUGGGAAGAGACGCUAAGGAAAUGAAGUGAAAAAGGUUGGACGGUGGUGGUGAGAGCGGUGGUUGGUCGAAACAAAAGAGGAGGAGCUUGAAAUUAGCUAACCAAGAGAGGAAGAAGGCGGUGAUGCCAACGAGAUGAACGGAGGAGACGGUGAGAGGUAGGUAAAGGAAGAAGAUGAAGAUUGGAGUUAAAGAAAAAAGCUUGAAAAUGCCUUUGGGGAGCUUUGAUGAUAUGUAGAAACAAUAACAAAGGGAAAUUAUAGCUGAAAUCCAUACCUUGAUGAGAUUGUGAAGUUCGUUCUCCAUUUCUUGAUCUUUGGAUCUUUGAUGGAAAUGUAGUUGACUUUACUUAGAUCGAGAACCAUGGUCAUAAUAUGUUAAUAGGUAAUUGUAAUUUUCCAAAAUUUUGGAAUUUAGUCCAUAUAUUUUAAUUCCCAAGGAUUUAAUCUUUAUAUUUUUUGAAUUUUAAAAUUCAAGUUCAAUUAUCACUUCGAUAAUGUGAACAAACAUUAACUUUAUCCAUUAUUUUAAAGUGGCUUGACAAAUAAUAUAAAUUUAAAGACUAAUGAAGGACUAAAAUAAAUUUUUUUAUAAAGUUAAAAGGUAAAAAAUUGUCAUUAUACCUUACUUAUUUUUUAGAUCUAAAGUCAGUGCUCUCACUUAAUUUUAUAAUGUUGUCCUUCAGCAAAAAAGUAAAUACGAAGUUGAGCAAUAAUAAUAACACGUGAGGGACUGUGGAAGUGGGUGCUGUCUUUAGGACAAAUCUAUAUCUAUAUAUUCAAAGCACUGUCCUCCUGCCGUCAAGUGGUAAGUCGACUGCUCUUUUUUUUUUAAAUGAAAAAUUUUGUUUACUUUUGAAAUUUAAUCUAUAUAUUUUAACUUUUUAAUAUAAUUUAGUUUUUAUAUUUUUAUAAUAUUUUUAAUUAUUUUAAAUAGUUGAUAUAAUUUACUUUUCAGUUAAAAUAUUAUGUAGUUAUAUAUAAUUUGAAUACAUUAUAAGUCUUAGAGACAGGUACCCGAUGUUCUAUUUCUUUUAGAUUUGUGUCGCUUUUUUUUUUACAUUAGAACACAAUGGCUAAAUUUUAAUUUUAGCUUCUAGACUAUGCUAAAACUUGAGAGCCUCUAUCCCGACGAUGCGACGCCCCCUCGCCCCGACGACGCAAAUGCCACGUCACGACGUGGCGACGUGCACCUCAUGUUUUUCGGUUUUCUUCUCCUAGUUAAACAUUAUUUUUAGUUUUCUACUUAAACUAUGAUUAACCUACGAUUAUUCUAAUCAUAUAUGCUACGAAUUUUAGCCUAUAAAUAGGCAUUAGUUACUCUAGGUUACAUACAAAAGAAAUAUUUAGAUUGAGAGAAUUCAUUUAUUUGUUUUGAAGGGUUUAUUUUUUUGAGGCUUUGAGAUUUCCUUUGAUUCUCUCCAUUUUUUGUACUCUCUUUAUUAUAGUGAAAUCUCUUUUUGUCUUUGUUUUUUUAUCCUCUUUUGAUGAGCUUUUUCACGUACAUUUUACGUGUUCGAUCCUGUCGUUUUUACUUUAUUCACUUGUUCAUUGCAUAUAAGGUCCAUUUCCCUACACUGUUCUCGUAGUUAAUUUAUCACUACGGAAGAAGUCAGAGAUUUGAGGUUGUUUUUGAAUCUCUGUAACUGACUUAUCAAUUGGAGGAGAGAGAAUCUAUUGUUUGAGAUCAGUUCAAAGUCGGAGUCAAAAACACACCUAAGGCUAGAGUUUUCAUUUUAUCGGUUUAUUAAGUUUUAAUUUUGUUUUACUUAUUUCUACUUUGCUUUUAUUUUUAUUUAAUUUUUGUGAUUUAUUUUAUAUUCCAAUUUAAUCCCCUCAAUUUUGUAUAGGUUGGCAUGAGUCAUGGACACGAAAAUUACUUGGGAUGCGUUAUUGUUAUAAAGAGAUAUAGAUUCAGGUAAAUCAAUCUCUAUGGAAUCGACCCUACUCUAUAUACUAUAAAUUUAAUUUCAGUUUUAGACAAAAAAUUCGUGUUGGACAUAUUUCUAAACAGAGAUAUAAGAUAUGAUUUCUUAAAAAUUUGUUUUUAUCCAACCUGCUCAAAGCCAAAUAUAAGGAGGACAAACAGACAAAACUUUGACAAUUCACAUGUUGUGUUGUGUUUUAAUUAUCUUUUUAUAGCCUAUAGUCUAGAUUAUGAUUGCAUGCCCUGUUUUCUUAUACGAAACCAUAGUUUCCCUGGAAACCAAACAUCAAACCCACAUUUUCGAAAUUCAAAUUUUAAAAUUUCAAUACUAAUCAGAUGAUAAUUAUUAAAUUUGGUAAAUUUUGUUAUUUUUAAAAUUUAAUGUGGUAAGUAAAUAUAUUAUCAUCUGUGUAAUAAUAUGAUAACUUGUUAUUUCCAUAUAUUACUCACUAAAAAUACAUGCAAUGGCUUAACGAUUAUCACUUGCUUCAAGAUUAAAAUUUUAAAGUUCAAAAAAUAUAGGGACUUAAAAUCUUCCACUUGAAGAAUAUGGAAUAAAUCUGUAACUUUACGUAAAGUGCAAAACUAUUAAUUGAAUUUAACUGAACAAAUUUUAGCUGCUAUUAUGUGGGUUAUGACUAAAUGUCAAAAUUCAAAAAAUAUAAUACUAAAAUUAAUUAAAGUAAAGUAUAAAGACUAUAUCCAUAAUUUUGACAAAAUACUGAGAUUAAUAGCAAAAUUUACCUUUUUUUAAUGAAAUAAAAAAUAAAACCAUGAAAACAUUCUUCAUAGAACUUUGUUGUUUAAGUCAGACUCAGAGAGUUAUGUACUUUCUACUCAAGUUCUCUCGUGAUUGUCCUACAAACUGUAUUCACAUGUCUUCUUAUAUAUAUAUAUAUAUAUGUAUAUAUGGGUAGACUAUGCUAGUAGUUAACCAAAUAUUAAUAUUUUUUUUUUCUAAAAUUACAAUGAUAUUCAAAAUGGAAGCAAACCCUUUAUCAGAUCCAUCAACUUGGAGUACUCUCCAAUGUUCUUCUCAUCUACACCAUUCCUCACUAACUGCGGGAGAAACAACCAAACGGCAGUCACCGCCACAAAUCCCAAAGCCAACGCCCCGGAAACCACCGGGUGCAACCUCAUUUUAUCAGGCACCACCUUUUUCACCACCACUUCCGCCACCACCGCAACCCCAUGUAAGAUGAAAAACCGUGCCACCUCCCAAGUAGGAGCCACACGAGUCAUGUAAUAAAAAAUCAAUUCAUGCAUCAAGCCGGAGACGACGAACACGGCGACGACCGCCGGCAAUGAAGACCACCUUGAUCCGAGCAAACGAGUAGAAAUACGGCGUAUGGGGUAAUAUACGGUUGGUCGUAGAAUACUAGUAACCAUAAGGUUCCAUCUACGACCCCAAAAAUCUUGUAAAGAGGUAGCCAAGUAGGGUUCAUUGAACUGUGGCUCGAUCUCGAACCCAAACAUGGCUCGAGCAAGGGUUGCGGCCAAGGCUAGGGCGAGCUCAAGCUCAAUGUAGAUGCGGACACAGAACAUUACUAGAACUACAUUUUUAUGGAGAUUUUGUUUGUGGCCAUAACAAUGAUAAAGCAAAGCUAAUAUUAAAACUUUUAUAGCAAACAAGAUUGAUCUUUGGGGUUGUUGAGAUUUGUUUUGAGAUGGGGUUUUUUGUUUAGAUUUAAUGGGAAGAGAAGCUAAGGAAAUGAAAUGAAAAAGGUUGGACGGCGGUGGUGAGAGAGGUGGUUGGUCGAAACAAAGGAGGAGGAGCUUGAAAUUAGCUAACCAAGAGAGGAAGAAGGCGGUGAUGCCGGCGAGAUAGGCGGUAGAGAUGGUGAGAGGGAGGUAAAGGAAGAAGAUGAAGAUUGGGGUUAAAGAAAUAAGCUUGAAAAUGCCUUUGGGGAGCUUUGAUGAUAUGUAGUAACAAUAACAAAGGGAAAUUAUAGCUAAAAUCCAUACCUUGAUGAAGUUGUAAUGUUCAAUCUCCAUAGGUUGAUCUUUGGAUCUUUGAUGAAAAUGAAGUUUAAUGUUUAAUAUUGAUAAGGAAUGUGAUUGCGUUUUCUUAGAUAAGUGCAUAGACACGUUUAAAAUUUAAUGUGUAUUUAAUUGAAGGUUGUAGAUAGGUGUAUUGUCUCCAAUCAUAUCAUAAUGAAUUUAAGACUAGAUUUUGUUAGUUGUCAAUUUUACAUGAUUAUUAAGUGGGUUUUUUUUUAUUUUAAAAUAUUAAAUCAAUGAAUUUAAUAGUGUUAACAACUAGGUUUGAAUUUUUAAAUUCAUAAAUUAAGGGAUUAAAUUUUUAAAAAUAAAAAUACAAAGACUAAAUUUCAAAUGUACGAAAACUACAAAGACAGAGUAUAUUUUAAUAUUCAAAUAUUUACUCCAUAAUUUAGCUUAAAAAAUAAUUAACCUAAUGCGAAGUGUGGCAACAACUAGACUUGUUAUAUUUCAAAGGAAACAAAUAAGAGAAAGCCAGUUUGACCUUUUCAUAAUAGUUACCUUGUUGUUGGUUACUUUGAACAACUGAACUAGCUUGGUACUAAAACUCUUAAUAGUUGUAAUUUUCAGGUUAAUUACAUGCAUAUCGCACCAAUUGUUGGUACAAAAUGUUGGCUUAGUGGUAGAUGAUGAUUCAUAUACAUCACUGUGGAGAGCCGUUGGUGGUGGUUCUGAGAAUUUCAGAGAUCAGUAAAAAGGCUUCUUGAAGGGUUUUAACAAAGUUUAUAGGUAAAAAGGGGUAUUCUAAUAAACGAUAAUAAAAUUCAUAAUAUUUGAAAUAGGUUCCUUGGAGGGAAUUUGGAAGCUUGGUCAUGAUGCGUCUUUUUGCACGUUGAUAAUGUGCUUAAUCAACAUGUUUUUAGUGAUUUAUUGUAAUUAAUUUUAGACAUGAAUGCUACUAAUUCGAUACUUUUUUAUACUAUUUUCUAUAUUGGUAUAAUGCAGGAUUGAAAUGUUAGAGUACAAGUUGCUUUCAAGGUUAUGCACUUGGUAAUGGUUAGUCGUCGUGCUGGUCUCGUAAUUAAUUUAUCACUACGGAAGAAUUUGGAGAUUUGAGAUUGUUCCUCGAUCUCUAUAACAAACUUAUCGAUUAUAGGAGAAAAUCCAUUAUCUAGGAUUAGUUCAAAGUCAAAUUCAAAAUUGUGCCUAAUGCUAGAUUUGUCAUUUUAUCGUUUUAUUCAUUUUUUAUUUGUUUACUUAUUUCUAUUCCAUUUUAUUUUUUAUUUAUUUUUUUUAUAUUCUAAUUUAGUCCCCAUCUAUUUUGUAUAGGUUGGCAUGAGUCAUAGGCACGAAAACUGCCUGCAACGCAUUUUGGUUAUAAAGAGAUACAAAUUUAGAUAGAUUAGUCCUUGUGGGAUCGACUCUACUCUUUAUACUAUAAAUUUAAUUUUUCUUUUAGAUGUAAGAAUUUAUUUUUAGUGGAUUUGACAUCCAUAAUAGGUGUGUUUGGAUGUAAUGAAACAAGUUGGUAGUGUCAAGUCAAUGAGGCUUGCCUCUUUUACACUUGUCAAACAUGCAUGAGACAGAUGUUUAGCAAGGAUUAAUAUUUUACCAUGUUGCUGAGCUUCCACAUAUAGAUGUUGGUGAAAUGUUAUAGACGAAAUUCUCCUAUUUUCCAUUGGUCAAAGAGGUUGACUUGACAAGAUCCAUUAGGCAAGAUGACACAUAUAACAAUUACGAAUAUGCGAAAACAAAAAAUGAAAAGAGGAAGAACAAAAAUUCAUCGAGACAUAUCUUUUUUACACUUCACAACUUUACAAUUUUUCAUAUGAUGUUUUAGGAGGGGCGACUCCUUCGCGAGAAGUCUUCAAAGUGUCGUAUAUUGGGCAGCUGACCUGAUCCCCCAACAACCGAAGCUAUUGUCCCCUUGUCGAGGUUUUGUCUUUAGCUUUCAUGAAGAGCCAUGUGCAGUUCAUGGAGGGGGCGCCUCGAGAGAUAGGUGCUUGCAAGACUUGGGAAAGAUGUCAAUAUGGUGCGUGUGAAUAAUAGUGGGGGUACUUGGGUGCGUCCAGAUUCAAACCACCAACCAAGGCUUAAAGACAACGUGUUUGCAAACAUGGUACUCUUCAUUUUUUUUAAAACCCCGACACAGGGACUAUAUUGAUUGUUGGGUGUCUGGGUUGACUGUCGGAGGACGACACUUUGAAAACUUCUUACAAAGGAACUGAUUCUCCCCUUAACAAUUAUGAUAAUUAUAACAGCUCGAUUUUCAAUGGUAUUGAAAAAGCGAUUUGAAACUUCAUUUCCGUAAAACCGUGUUUGUAAAUAUUAAUAUUUAAUAUUUACGAAGCUAUUAUAGUAAUAUAUUAAAUUUUGGUUUAGUAAUUUUGUUGAAUUGAUAGCUAAUUAAGGUUCAAUGACUAAUUUGUAAAAUUUUAUUGCUAUAAGUUUUUAAUUGCCCAAAGAUUUAAGGACUUAAAUUACAAUUAAUAAAAGGUCCAAAAAGGUAAUUUAACCAAUUUAUAAUAUGAAAUAGUGGCAUAUGAUGACAUUCCCACUAUCUUUGAUUAAUAGUUAAUUAAUUAAUCUUAAAUUAAUUAAACUUAAUUAACUCAUCCUUGGUCCAAAAAAAUUAAAAGGAAAAGUUAUCAUCUUUUAUUCAUCUUCCUCUCUUGGCCGAAUCUUGAAGGAGAGAAAACCUAAGGAAACAUUUCACAUUCGACUACAAAAUUGGUAUGUGCAAUUAAGUCAUUUUCUUGUAAUUUUUAUGUUUUUGGGGCCAUGGGAACUUGAUUUAGCUAGAUCAUGUACCAAUUUGUAAAACUGUUAAAAUUUUUAAAAGUUGUCAUUGCUAAUUUCUUACAGAAAUUAGUGUUAAAUUGGUAAACUUCAAGCUUAGAUGUGAAAAAGUAUAAGAUUGUAAAGUUUAAAUUGUUAGUUUUGUCAAAACGGAUUAAAGUGUAAAAAUUGAAUAUUUGAUGUGAAAUUUUUUUAACAAUAGAUAGUAGAGGGUCCUAAAAGGAUAGGAGCUAGAUCGAUUUUGAAAUCUAAGCUCAAAAUUGAAAGUUAUGGCAAUUUCGAUUUUUGGGUCUAAACUGAAUAAAAUGCAAAAAUUUAGGGGCAUUCAGAAAAUAAAAUUGAACUGGUACAUGCAUAUAAUAGAAUGUUAUAAAAUUUUUAGUAUUGAUAAAUUGAAUUGAGUAAUUGUAUAGAUCGAGAAUUGAACCGAACCGAAGAUAAUUAGGAAAAUAAAAAAUUGUCAAUUAGUCCUUAAAGUCUCGUUUAUUGCUCUUUUUCUGGGUAAGUUCAUCUGAAACUUACUAAAUUAUCUUUUGAAUUUUAUUUUUUUUAAUUGCAUGUUUAUAUUUAAGUGAAAUUGUGGAAAUUGGCUUAUUUGGCUAUUUAUGGACUGAAUUGUAAAACAUGAAAAUGUUGGCUAUACGAAAGGGUACAAAGUACCGAUAUGAACGUUACAUGUUUAUAGGAUUUGUAUGGAAUAAGUAUUCUGAUAUAAGACUUGAAAUGAUACGAUUAAGAUAAUGAUGUUGUGUGAACUUAGUAAAAGAUUAGAAUAUGUAUGGCAUGCCAUUAGGGUCAAAUAUGGAAUUGGUCAGGGAUUUACAUGGUUAUAUAGUCAACUUUUUUUUAGAAACCCUGAUCAAUGUCAACUUGUGUGAGCAAUAUAGUCACGUUUAUCCGAAAUGGUAACCUAACGGAAAUGAAAUCAUUGUAAUGAUACAAAUGUGGAUUGAAUUUUACAUGUUUUCAAAUUGAAUAUGAAUUUUUUUGUACAUGUUUCAAAUUGAGUUGUGGUAAAUUAAUUUUGUGUAAAGUUCUUGAUAUGAAAAUGGACUAAUCUAUUCAUUGUAUAUGAUAUUAUGUGUUAGCUAUUUCAAGAUAUGUCAAAUGAUGCCAUACUGAAUGACAAUGUAUUUAAAUUUUUAGUUUGUUGUAAUAUCAAGGUAAGUUAAAUUUCAUAUGAACUUACUAAGCAUUAUGUUACUUUUUGUUUUCCUUGUAGAUCAUUACCUUGCAGAACAUAUCAAGUAGAUCGCUUUGAAUCUCACAUUAUCCUGUUUUUGAAUCAGUAGCUUUUCGAUCAUUUUAAGUUUGGAAUUGUGGCAUGUAUAUAGGCGUUUUGUAUAUGUUAACUUUCAAUGUUGGACAUAGCUUAAAACCUUCCUAAUGCAUGAUUUUGACAAUGUUAAUGUCUAGUUGAAAUGGCAUGUUUUGGUAAAUGUGUUUGAAUUAGGUUUGGAAAUUAAAAUCGCAUGUUUGAACAUAAAGUAGCAUAGAUAAUAAAUUGGUAUUUUAAUGGCUAGUUGGUUGGAUGGAUGAUUUAUAAUUGAAUGAGUUGAAUUGGUAUGUUUUGUGUUAAUUUGAACUUAUAUUGAAUUGAUUGAUUGGAAAUGGUUAAAUGACUUGUUUUGGUAUGUUUUUGGUAUGGUUUGAUUCAAGUAAAGAUCGGCGAUUUGUUCAGUAAAUUGAAUAGGUUGUUUGGAAGCAUUAAAUAGGUACCGAAUGGUUCAUUUUUCUUAAAAACAGGUUCCACAUCACGAUUAUGGUUCUCGACAUCGCAACAUUGGAAAUUCAGAGAGUCUCGUUGCGACAUAUUGAGGUGCCCAUGUCGCGAUGAGGAAACACUGAAGUCACGACGACGGUUAAUUUUUAAAACUUUACAAUUUGGUCCUAUUUCGUGCUCGGGUCAGUAAAAGAGCUUUAGUAAGCUCGAUUAAGGCUCGAGUUUAAUUGAUUAACAUAAUGUAAAUGUGUUUAGCACUUAAUUACAUGUUUGAUUGAUGUUUACUGUAUAAUUGACUAUAGUUACUUCGACAACAAAUGUGACAUACUGUAACUCGAACCCGACAAUCGAAUCGGGCUAAAAGUGUUACAAUAACUAUUGAAUGCCAUUGGUACUCUCAUUUUUUUUUAAAAAAGACAUCUAUAAUUAAUAUUCAUGUUCCACGUAUAUUUAAACAUAGAUAUAAGAUUUGCUUUCUCAAAAAUUUGUUUUAUUCCAAUCUGGUCAAAGCCAACAAAAGUGUUUGAUAGAAACGAGAAGGACAAACAGACAAACUUUGUGUUGUGUUUUAAUGAUAGUCACUAAACAUGGCGUGGCCCGUUUUCUUAUACGGAACCAUAGUUUCUACAUCCUGGAAAUGGAACAUCAAGCCGACAUUUUUAAGGUUAAUUUCUGCUAUUAGUCCUUAAUUUUUGCGAAAUUUAUAUAUUUAAUCUCUAUAUUUUAAUUUAGUCAUUUUUAGUCAUUGAACUUUUCAAAUUUUAAAGUUUCAAUACUAACCGAACGGUAACUAUUAAAUUCAGUAAGUUUAGCUAUUUCAAAAAUCUGAGGUGGUAAACAUAUUAUCAUAUGUGUAAUAGCAUGUCAGUUGAUUAUUUCUGCAUAUUACUAACUAAAAAUCCAUGCAAUGGAUUAACGAUUGUCAUUUGCUUUAAGAUUGAAAUUUUAAAAUUCGAAAAAUAUAGGGACUUAAAAUGAUCCACUUGAAGAAUAUGGAUUAAAUCUGUAACUUUAAGUAUAGUACAGGACUAUUAAUUGAAUUUAACUACUAUUAUUUGAGUUAUGACUAAAUUUUAAAAUUCGAAAAAUAUAGGAAAAUAAUUGAUCAAAUUAAAGUAUAAAGAUUAAAUCCAUAAUUUUGACAAAACAUUGAGAUUAAUAGCAGAAUUUGCCUUUUUUAAUGAAAUAAAAAUAUAACCAUGGAAAUAUUCUUCAUAGAACUUUGUUGUUCAAUUCAGACUCAGAGAGUUUUGUACUUUCUACUCAAGUUCUCUCGUGAUUAUCCUACAAGCUGUAUUCACAUGUCUUGUUAUAUAUAUAUAUAUAUAUAUGGGUAAACUAUACUAGUAGUCACCCAAUUAUUAAUAAAUUUUUUUUAAUCACACAAUUAUGAAAAGUUAUAAAUUAAAUGAUCAUCUAGCUAUUAGUAAAUUUCUUUUUUAGUCACACAACUAUGAAAAAUUACAAAAUAAUUAUUAAACUAUUCAAUUUUGUCAUUUUUGGUCCCCAGCUGGCUACCAUAAAAAUAGAAAUACCCAAAACUCCAAGAUAGUUAGGUGACCAAAAAAGAAAUUUACUAAUAGUUGGAAGACCAUUUUAUAAUUUUUCAUUGUUGAGUGACAAAAGAAAAUUAACUAAUAAUUGGGUGAAUAUUAAAUAGUUUACCUCAAAACCCUUGCUAUAAUUUAAGUGCAGGUGUGUUACUUAGCAUUGUGUUUGAUAUAGUUUUUUUGAGGCAAGAAAAAUGGCUAAGGUUAGUGAGAAACUGAUGGUGUAUUGCUUGGUAGCAAUCUUUGUGGUCAUUGCAAUGGUGGAAGGAAUUUAAAUGGCUGGAUUUUUAUUUAUGAUUUUUUUCUAAAAUUACAAUGAUAAUCAAAAUGGAAGCAAACCCUUUAUAAGAUCCAUCACCUUGGAGUACUCUCCAAUGUUCUUCUCAUCUACACCAUUCCUCACUAACUGCGGGAGAAACAACCAAACGGCAGUCACCGCCACAAAUCCCAAAGCUGACGCCCCGGAAACCACCGGGUGCAACCUCAUUUUCUCAGGCACCACCUUCUUCACCACCACUUCCGCCGCCACCGCAACCCCAUGUAAGAUGAAAAACCAUGUCACCUCCCAACUAGGAGCCACACGAGUCAUGUAAUAAAAAAUCAAUUCAUGCAUCAAGCCGGAGACGACGAACACAACGACGAUCGCCGGCAACGAAGCCCACCUUGAUCCGAGCAAACGAGUAGAAAUACGGCGUAUGGGGUAAUAUACGGUUGGUCGUAGAAUACUAGUAACCAUAAGGUUCCAUCUACGACCCCAAAAAUCUUGUAAAGAGGUAGCCAAGUAGGGUUCAUUGAACUGUGGCUCGAACUCGAACCCAAACAUGGCUCGAGCAAGGGUUGCGGCCAAGGCUAGGAUGAGCUCAAGCUCAAUGUAGAUGUGGACACAGUACAUUGCUAGAACUACAUUUUUAUUGAGAAUUUGUUUGUAGCUAUAACAAUGAUAAAGCAAAGCUAAUAUUAGAACUUUUAUAGCAAACAAGAUUGAUCUUUGGGGUGGUUUAGAUCUGUUUUGAGAUGGGGUUUUUUGUUUUGGUUUAAUGGGAAGAGAAGCUAAGGAAAUGAAAUGAAAAAGGUUGGACGGCGGUGGUGAGAGCGGUGGUUGGUCGAAACAAAAGAGGAGGAGCUUGAAAUUAGCUAACCAAGAGAGGAAGAAGGCGGUGAUGCCGACGAGAUGGGCGGUGGAGAUGGUGAGAGGGAGGUAAAGGAAGAAGAUGAAGAUUGGGGUUAAAGAAAUAAGCUUGAAAAUGCCUUUGGGGAGCUUUGAUGGUAUGUAGAAACAAUAACAAAGGGAAAUGAUAGCUAAA
rnacentral:lncRNA from 1 species